rnacentral:snoRNA from 1 species
AUCCUUUUGUGGUUGAUAAGCAUGAUGACUGGGUUUUCAUGCCCAUGUGUGCGAUGUCUCCUUCAAAUCUUUUUAUGAAGUAGGGGCAUUAUCUGUCUGACA